rnacentral:rRNA from 1 species
UACGUAGGUGGCAAGCGUUGCUCGGAAUCACUGGGCGUAAAGCGCACGUAGGCGGAUUGUUAAGUCAGGGGUGAAAUCCUGGAGCUCAACUCCAGAACUGCCUUUGAUACUGGCGAUCUUGAGUCCGGGAGAGGUGAGUGGAACUGCGAGUGUAGAGGUGAAAUUCGUAGAUAUUCGCAAGAACACCAGUGGCGAAGGCGGCUCACUGGCCCGGUACUGACGCUGAGGUGCGAAAGCGUGGGGAGCAAACAGG